rnacentral:rRNA from 1 species
UAGGGAAUCUUCGGCAAUGGACGAAAGUCUGACCGAGCAACGCCGCGUGAGUGAAGAAGGUUUUCGGAUCGUAAAACUCUGUUGUUAGAGAAGAAAAAGGACGUUAGUAACUGAACGUCCCCUGACGGUAUCUAACCAGAAAGCCACGGCUAACUACGUGCCAGCAGCCGCGGUAAUACGUAGGUGGCAAGCGUUGGCCGGAUUUAUUGGGCGUAAAGCGAGCGCAGGCGGUUUCUUAAGUCUGAUGUGAAAGCCCCCGGCUCAACCGGGGAGGGUCAUUGGAAACUGGGAGACUUGAGUGCAGAAGAGGAGAGUGGAAUUCCAUGUGUAGCAGUGAAAUGCGUAGAUAUAUGGAGGAACACCAGUGGCGAAGGCGGCUCUCUGGUCUGUAACUGACGCUGAGGCUCGAAAGCGUGGGGAGCAAACAGG